CCCUUAGACGUUCUGGGCCGCACGCGCGCUACAUUGACACAGGCAACGAGCUUUCCUUUACCGAAAGGUAUGGGUAAUCUUUUGAAACUGUGUCGUGCUGGGGAUAGAUCCUUGCAAUUUUUGAUCUUAAACGAGGAAUUCCUAGUAAGCGCGAGUCAUCAACUCGCGUUGAUUACGUCCCUGCCCUUUGUACACACCGCCCGUCGCUACUACCGAUUGAAUGGCUUAGUGAGGCCUCAGGAUCCGCGCUUAAUGUGUGGAGAAUUUGGACAAACUACGUCAUUUAGAGGAAGUAAAAGUCGUAACA
rnacentral:rRNA from 1 species